UACGUAGGCAGCGAGCGUUGUUCGGAAUUACUGGGCGUAAAGCGUGCGCAGGCGGUUUUGUAAGCCAGAUGUGAAAUCCCCGGGCUUAACCUGGGAAUGGCAUUUGGGACUGCAAGGCUUGAGUGCGGCAGAGGAGACUGGAAUUCCUGGUGUAGCAGUGAAAUGCGUAGAUAUCAGGAGGAACACCGAUGGCGAAGGCAGGUCUCUGGGCUGACACUGACGCUCAUGCACGAAAGCGUGGGGAGCAAACAGG
rnacentral:rRNA from 1 species